UUUAUGGAGAGUUUGAUCCUGGCUCAGGAUGAACGCUGGCGGCGUGCCUAAUACAUGCAAGUCGAGCGAACGGACGAGAAGCUUGCUUCUCUGAUGUUAGCGGCGGACGGGUGAGUAACACGUGGAUAACCUACCUAUAAGACUGGGAUAACUUCGGGAAACCGGAGCUAAUACCGGAUGAUAUUUUGAACCGCAUGGUUCAAAAGUGAAAGACGGUCUUGCUGUCACUUAUAGAUGGAUCCGCGCUGCAUUAGCUAGUUGGUAAGGUAACGGCUUACCAAGGCAACGAUGCAUAGCCGACCUGAGAGGGUGAUCGGCCACACUGGAACUGAGACACGGUCCAGACUCCUACGGGAGGCAGCAGUAGGGAAUCUUCCGCAAUGGGCGAAAGCCUGACGGAGCAACGCCGCGUGAGUGAUGAAGGUCUUCGGAUCGUAAAACUCUGUUAUUAGGGAAGAACAUAUGUGUAAGUAACUGUGCACAUCUUGACGGUACCUAAUCAGAAAGCCACGGCUAACUACGUGCCAGCAGCCGCGGUAAUACGUAGGUGGCAAGCGUUAUCCGGAAUUAUUGGGCGUAAAGCGCGCGU
rnacentral:rRNA from 1 species